rnacentral:rRNA from 1 species
AUAAAGACUCAUCCUUUUGGAUGGAGUUAUUUCAAUGAGUUGAAUAUAAAUUAUUCUUCGAGUAGCAAGGAGAGGGCAAGUCUGGUGCCAGCAGCCGCGGUAAUUCCAGCUCUCCUAGUGUAUCUCGUUAUUGCUGCGGUUAAAAAGCUCGUAGUUGGAUCUAGGUUACGUGCCGCAGUUCGCAAUUUGCGUUAACUGUGGUCGUGACUUCUAAUUUGCUGGUUUGAGGUUGGGUUCGCCCUUCAACUGCCAGCAGGUUUACCUUGAAUAAAUCAGAGUGCUCAAUACAGGCGCUUGCUUGAAUAGCUCAUCAUGGAAUAAUGAAACAGGACUUCGGUUCUUUUUGUUGGUUCUAGAAUUGAUCUAAUGGUUAAGAGGGACAAACCGGGGGCAUUCGUAUCAUUACGCGAGAGGUGAAAUUCGUGGACCGUAGUGAGACGCCCAAUAGCGAAAGCAUUUGCCAAGAAUGUCUUCAUUAAUCAAGAACGAAAGUCAGAGGUUCGAAGGCGAUUAGAUACCGCCCUAGUUCUGACCGUAAACGAUGCCAUCUCGCGAUUCGGAGGGUUCAUGCCCUACCGAGGAGCUACCCGGAAACGAAAGUCUUUCGGUUCCGGGGGUAGUAUGGUUGCAAAGCUGAAACUUAAAGAAAUUGACGGAAGGGCACCACAAGGCGUGGAGCUUGCGGCUUAAUUUGACUCAACACGGGAAAACUCACCCGGUCCGGACACUAUUAGGACUGACAGAUUGAAAGCUCUUUCUCGAUUUGGUGGUUGGUGGUGCAUGGCCGUUCUUAGUUGGUGGAGUGAUUUGUCUGGUUUAUUCCGAUAACGAGCGAGACUCUAGCCUGCUAAAUAGUCGACGAAUCUUCGGGUUCGUAUAACUUCUUAGAGGGAUAAGCGGUGUUUAGCCGCACGAGAUUGAGCGAUAACAGGUCUGUGAUGCCCUUAGAUGUCCGGGGCUGCACGCGUGCUACACUGGUGGAGUCAGCGGGUUUUUCCUAUGCCGAAAGGUAUCGGUAAACCGUUGAACUUCUUCCAUGUCCGGGAUAGGGUAUUGUAAUUAUUACCCUUAAACGAGGAAUGCCUAGUAAGUGUGAGUCAUCAGCUCACGUUGAUUACGUCCCUGCCCUUUGUACACACCGCCCGUCGCUAUCCGGGACUGAACUGAUUCGAGAAGAGUGGGGACUGUGGCUGCGAGGUUUUACCACUUCGC